GAGAGAUGGCUUAGUUGCUAAGAGCACUGGAUGCUCUUCCAGUAAACCUGGGUUCAAUUCCCAGCACUCA
rnacentral:tRNA from 1 species